AUAUAGCUAGUUAUCAUAUGUAGAUAUAAAAAGGCAAAUCCGUGGGGAAGCCGGGAGCGAGGGAUGAAGAAUUGUCAAACCCCAGAAGCCUGUAAUUCUCUUCCUUGAUACAGCCGGAUCAUCGGACGGACUCCAUAGAUAUCAUUCACUCUUAUAUACAUAUUAUACAUGCUUUCGGCUGCUCUUUUCUCCUUGCUUUCUUCGCAGCUCAUCAGGAGUGUUGUGGCCGGAUUAUAACAUGGAAAAUAUACCAGAAGAUGAACAUGUGAAUCUACAUGAAGAAGGACUUGAAGAGAAUGAUGAAAGUGUGUCAUCAAAUUCGCAGGAUUUCCCUUUUCUCGCAGGGCUGAAUCUUGUUUUACUUGUUUCUUAUCUCUCACUCUCUGAGGAUGAAUGCUUAAGCUUAGAGGAUACGGAGAAGAUGGAAAUUGCCACAUCUCAAGAACCGAAAGACAGCAUAUUAAGGGUGCGGGCAGAAAAACGAAAACUACAUGAGCCAAAGUUGGUUGAAUCACGAGUUCAGAGGGUUCAGAGUAAAGUAAGAGAUUGCAGGCACAACAGAAGAAUGUGACUAAAAGCAAUAUACAAGUGAUAGCAAACACAUCUGAAUCAGUAAAACUUUAGUCUCCUCCAAGCUCGUCACGUCGAACAAAGACAGAAAAGGUAAAUAUAUGGAUCUUCUAAUGAAAAAGCGACAUAGUUUAGAUUAGCAUUACCAUUGUUAAGAGAGUAUCAGUACAGUUGGGUGUACAUUCCCGUGUGGAUCACAUCCGUAAGAAUGCAGGAGUCAUUAAUAUCAACCAUACGUACCUAUUAUGUACAACAUAACAGAGAAAGAGGUGCAAACUUGAUACUUGUAUGAAUGAACCAAGUUUUUGUAAUAACAACUCAUCCACUCUUUUUCUGAUUUCA